CUCACACACUCGCUCUGCCUCUCUGACACAGACUCUCUACUUAGUGCGUUGGAGAGAGGACUGAGGCUCACACUAUCAACACAGCUUCUCAAUGGGGGGACGCAGCCAAGAGCAGACAGAGCAGUCAUUCCACUGGAGCCUUCCGCUGCGCGCGUGAGAAGGAGACGACAAGUGAGGGGGGGUAAAUUAGCUCCCUGUCAUCACAACAUAGGAGUUGUACUGACGGAGAAGAGGCACAGACUGAAGGAAGAAGAGGACAAGAGAUCUGCACGUAUGUGGCUGAUACAGCAGUGACAUGUUCAGCCUCCCAUCACCUCAGAUCCUGGCCAGUUUGUGACACAGACCCCUGGGUGUUUUGCUUUUGGUGACUGUGCUGCCAAGGAUUUCAAAAGGACCCGAGCAGCAGGGGUCCAGAGGAGGUGAACACUGAGGUGGGGAGAAAAAACCCAGCAUUUUAGAUCUUUUUGUGCGGUGUUCGGCUUACCUGGUACUGGAAUUUCAGGCAGGAAUCCCUGGCUUCAAAGUAUGGAUGGAUUUAAGACAGAGGAGUGAGUCUGACUGAGCUCCUUUCCUUGUGAACACACUGCUCAGACACGGCCUUACCAUGUCCUGGUUGAUGGCCAUGUGGAUUAGCCUCGGCUUCCUGCUGUUGUGCCAGGCCACACUCUACCAGACCAUCCAGCAGCACCAUGUGGCCCGGCCCGGUCGCACCGACAUUCUCACCCUGGAGGGAGGUACGUGUGAGGUGAUUGCCGCCCACCGAUGCUGUAACAAGAAUCGCAUCGAGGAGCGUUCGCAGACAGUCAAGUGCUCCUGUUUACCGGGGAAAGUGGCCGGGACGACACGCAACAAACCCUCCUGUGUGGAUGCGUCCAUUGUAAUUGGGAAAUGGUGGUGUGAGAUGGAACCGUGUCUGGAGGGAGAGGAGUGUAAGACUCUGCCUGACAACUCUGGAUGGAUGUGCUCCUCUGGGAACAAAAUCAAGACUACAAGAAACACCCAGCCAUACUCCCCUUUUUAGCUUCCGGAAGCAAAAUGCAGAGGAUGGGUCAACAGAAAUUGAGCUGCAUUCUUGCUUCUGUAAAGAUUCAUCCCAGGACCUAACAGAGAGCUCCCAUUGCAGGGCCGCGUGCCAGGCUCUUCCCUUCAUCUACCCUUUCUCUUCCCACCGAACGGACUAAAACUAUUACAUCCACGGCUACUGACUGGAUUACCUGGGACCACAGAAAGGAUAUCCACCCAGAUAAAACAGCUUUGCUCGCGUGGUGCCAAGGAUUUGAAACCAGACUAAUCCCCUGUUUGAUCAAUGAGCCCCAUGUUGGUGACUCUCCUCUUCCACACAGCUGUGGCCAGUUUCCGACCUACUCUCCCUCCGUUUCCCUCACUCUGUCUCCCUCUCGAAAACUGAAAAAAAACUUAGCAGGGGUUAUUUAGAGGUUGUUAAAACAUUAUGUGAAGACAUUUGCCCUGCCUGAAGGUAAACCAGUUUAGGAGCUUACAUGGACCUAAACAUGGGAUCAAGAGAACUGAGGGCAAAAGGAGGGAAAUUACCUUGAUAUCCUUUUAUUUCUGUGUGGAAGACAUUUGUUUUUGACUCGCUACCCCCAGCAGGACAGCGUGGCUGUGACAACGCUGUAGAGGUUUGGUUGAAAAACACUGGAUUAUCAGUGACGGACACCACUAGCAGCCUAUGAUGAGUUAAUGAAGAAUCUUUGUGAGGCUUUGGGAUCCUCGUGGCCUCGCCUUCAUCCUUCACAAUGGACAUUUUGACUUUUAUUCGUGGGCAUGCCCGAUGUAAAUUCAUGAGCACUCCUUUUCUUUGUAUGUAAAAUAAUUUGUGUAUAUAUACAUAUAUAAAUACAUCACAUAUAAGGUGACAGAUCCAAGAAGCUGCAAAAUAUAUUUAAGACUCUAUUAGGAGCUCGAGCCCCAUGGUGGAAUAUUGAUCAGCCACUGAAUAUAAGUACAGUUCAUACUUAGUCAGAGGCUGGUGUCUAAGUACAGUGUGUAUAGGACUGCUUUGCAGUAUGCUUGCUUUGGAAAAAGCCACAACAGAGUCAUUAAAAUAAGUAUUGUUCACUUUUGUCAUUCAGCAAUGUCCUUGGUUAAGCCAGAAAACGCUUGUAGUUUUUGUAAAGAUGAGGAAAACACUGUAUAGAACUGCCUCACAAAAGAAAGCGGCACUAACAACAACCUCUGAGCUUAGGGCAGCAGGGAGAUAGAGCAACAGUGGGACAAACUAGGACCAUAAUCGGACAGUUAGUGUCCAUUUCUGUUGUGGAAAGUGGUCAUGGGCAGCUGCUUGACUGCGUCUGUCGUGUAGAUCUCCUUCUCACACACCAGAGAGAGAUGAUUUAUUCAAAAAGACAGUGAGAAAGUAUUAGUCACAAUGGAGAAACAUACAGUUAUCCCCCAGUAGAUAUAAGUACAUUACA